GUUCUAGAACACAGUAGAACUGGAAUGGGGAGACACCACCAACAGAGAGGGAGUUAGAAGACUGGUACAGCACGUGAAGGGGAAGGAGAAAGAGAAAUGUAUUCAGGCCUCUGGCCAAGCCCCAUCGAUAGCUGAAACACAGCAUGCAACCUCAAGGAAGAAAGCCCUUCAGAAUGCCUGCAUAUUCAUUUAAACUUCAGCUGAGAAUAACAUCUCCUCCAGGUCAAGUAUAAGGUGCCUGUGAAGGGAUGCAAGUUCUAGAAUUGGAGCCCAGUUUGAAGCCUUCCAGAAACCUCAAAGAAGAAUUUAAUUCAGAGGUCCAGCCACAUAACCAAAGAAUGCUCCCAUGAGAAGGACACUGCUGUGGGCACCAAACUCGAAGGAACAAGUGAAACAGCUUGAGUUUUGCCGUCGACAUCAUAAAUCUCCUCCAAACGGUUAAAGACACAUCAGAGUCCAGACCAGAAGAAGCAUGAAGGCUGAACCACAGAUCCAUAGUCAGAAGCAAUAUCUAAGAUGGACUGCAUCUUACUGAUAUCUUCUUCACAAACUCUUCCAAGAGUUCUUGAAGAGUUCUUGAACUAUAUAAAGAUACUAUGCUACCUCAACUUCUCUGAACCAGCACAGGGCUGAGAUUUAAAUGGAACAAUGUCUAUAAAGAGCUCAGAAUGGUGGCCACAUGCCCAAGGAUGGCAUCAAGGCAGCAGAGAGAGCAAUGGACCUGUGAGGGCCAUCUUGAUAGGACACAGAUACAUCUCCAAAGCGCCCUAAUUAGAGGGGCCUAAUGAAAUGAAAAUAUGGAGGAGAGGAAGAAAAGAGAUUUUUUUAUAAUAAGAUUAUUUUGGGAAUACAGACAAACAGCCACAUACCCCCUCAGGGUUGAUCCAGCAUUUUGCCUUGCCAGCCUCUUUAAACCAUUUUAGAACAAAUACAGCUCAAGAGUUCCAUGAACCACCUAGAAUAUAUAAAGAAAAUAGGAUAAGAGGCAGAGUACUCUAAAGACCUCUGUAACCCCGAGUCAUCAUGGGUUUUUUUCAAAGCUUAUGCUACUCUUUACUUAAUUACAUUUGCUACUAAGAAGCGUUGAGUGUUAAGAAGUUGGAAAUGAAAUUGGCUAAUCUGUAUACCUUCUAUUGUACCAGAAGAAACUGAGCCCCAAAGCAUUGAAUGAAUUGUCCUAGAACACACAGAAGUCUGGUGAUGAUAACAGGGUAAUGCUCAAUUUUGCCAAGAUUGCCACAACAUCAAGUACGGUAUCUGUGCACACUUCUAUGAAUUUCUAUAGGUCGGUACACUACUCAUCCUUUUCUUACACAACAAAAAACCUUUAGAAAAACACCUAUUAUAUUUCUUUUCCCUGAUCCAUGCUUGCUUGGUCCCCUGAGACUAAUUCAGAGCAAAUAAAAAACCUUACAAACAAGUCUUAGAAAUGUGACU